UGAAGAAUUGUUUAACCUUUUAAUCUUUAUUACUCACUUAAGAAAUAUUUUCAUGCAAUUAGUUGAUAUGAUACAAUAAUAUGACAUCUCACCACUCGAAAAUGUGUAAUUGUAUAAACUUGCAGCUCAAAAAUUUCAAUCAGUUUCCGAAUCAAAAAGGCACUGCUUCUCACCCGCGAUUUAAAGCCAGCAGGUGACUCCAGACCCAAAACAAUGUGGCUGAUUCUUGACAAUCACCUGAAAAACCUGGAGAGCCUAUCACUUCAAGCCAAUAAGGACCGUUCCUGUUGCAUUAUUGAAACAACUAAAAUCAUACUCGGAUAUUGCUGCCAAUUGGAUGAGACAACCUGAAAAAAGAUUAUAUCUGCAGAUGUGUCAGCCAUGAUCCUAUAUUUUCAGAACCAAUGUGUCUCUCAACAUCAGAAAGCUAGCUCUUUGCCAACUGUCAAUCUUUUGGAGACUGUAAGUGCACCAGCUCCUGAAGAAGAACCUACCAUGUGUUGGCACAAAAUGCUCUCCAUUCCAUCCAUUAAAAUAAUUACCUGUAUUUUGUAGUCCACAGCAAAGUAUUUGCAGCUCACUAUAGAUUUCAGCACAAGGCUCUCAGAAAGAUUUAGUGAUUUCAGUGGCAUGAAGUUCAUCUAAACUGGCAAUAAUCUCAUUCUGAUACCAACCAUAAGGAAUCACCAGUGUCAAGUAACAUUGAAGUAACUAAGACAGUUAAUCAGCCAACAGGAUUAAAGUUUUGUUUCAUUCAUUCAAGGGAUGUGGGCAUCUAGGCCAACAGACAACACCCAUGGGAUUUAAAAAGAACUGAAUACACCUCUCUUGAACUGGUUUACAGAGUCCAAAAAUAGAUUUGAGGGUAUACAUGUGGUGAAGAUAGAAGUUGAAAUAUUAUAAAUAAAUGUUUUAAAUGCAUUAUUUUAAACAAUUAUGGAAUUUAUCAUACUGAAACAAACUGUAACAAGGUCAAAGAAGUAGCGAUAACCUAGUACAAUGUUUAAAGCCAAAUUACCCUCAGUCUACAAGGCAUAAAGAUUCCAGGUUUGUAGAAUUUUUGAAUCAAUCUGCUCAUCCAUGUUAUGACAAAAUUCUGGAGCAGGUGGGCCAAUGAAACUGGGUGUUUUGGUCCAGACAUGGGGACACUUACACAGCAUCACAAGGGUCCUUCCCAAGGUUUUGUUUUUUAAAUUUAUGAUGAAACUGACAGUAAAAAAAAGUGUAAAUAUCAUCAAUGCAGUAAGUUCUAUUUGGCCCCAUCUGG